rnacentral:rRNA from 1 species
CUAAGGCUCCAGAGGAAGCCACGGCUAACUCUGUGCCAGCAGCCGCGGUAAUACAGAGGCGGCAAGCGUUGUUCGGAAUUAUUGGGCGUAAAGAGCACGUAGGCGGCCUUGCAAGUCAGUUGUGAAAGCCUUCCGCUUAACGGAAGAAUGCCAGCUGAUACUACAGGGCUUGAGUACGGGAGGGGAGAGUGGAACUUCUGGUGGAGCGGUGAAAUGCGUAGAUAUCAGAAGGAACGCCGGCGGCGAAAGCGACUCUCUGGCCUAUAACUGACACUGAGUGUGCGAAAGCUAGGGGAGCAAACGGGAUUAGAUACCCCGGUAGUCCUAGCCGUAAA